UCCGCAAUGGUCCAGUGGUUAAGGAUUUCACGCUCUCCACCGUGACGGCCAGGGUUCCGAUUCCCCUGUUGGCGGAG